rnacentral:lncRNA from 1 species
UAUUUUUAAUCCCAAAUAAUAGUUUUUAAUCACAAAAUUAUUAAAAACUAAAAAAAAAUUCCAAAUCAAGUGAAUACCAUAAUCAAACUCGAUUUUACACAAUCCUACCAUUCACCCUAACAAAAAUCUAUAAAUAUCAUUCCAAAAUCAUCAAAUCUAUUUAAAAACCUAACAAAUCUAACCUAAGAGAGUGGGAUAGAGUUCAUACAUGAUCAGUGACUGAAAUUGAGGAGGAUUAGGGCGGAAAUCGCGAGAGAGAAGGAGAGCUUCGGCGGAGAGAGGAAGAGAGAAAUGGGAAAGAAGAUCUGGUUCGACCUAAUAAAAUGAGGCGUCCGACGGAAAAUGUCCGUCGGAAUUUCCUCGGAAUACCCUCGGUAAUUUCCGAGGAAAUUCCGAGGAAAAAGGGUUUGGGGUUUUAAAACAUCGAUUUUUUUGCCGUAUUUCAUUUCUUAUACAAUUGUAAUGCAUACCAUUGAGGAUUCUUUGUAUAGAUGAUCAUAAACCAUGAAAUAACAAAAUUUCAAAAAUAAUUGUAAGUAUUCCCUUUACCGUUUAUUAAAAUGUAUAAGUGUUUCUCUUAUGUUGUGUGGUUUUCGUUCAUGCAAUCGUAAAAGUGUUUGUUAUUGGGUAAAACACCAAAGUUUGACUUCAUAAUAUGGUUAAGACACUUAAUGAAGGUUAUAUACGUGUUAUUCAAUCAGCAAAACGUUGUUUUCGGUUAAAA